GAUCCUGGCUCAGGAUGAACGCUAGCUACAGGCUUAACACAUGCAAGUCGAGGGGCAGCAUGGUCUUAGCUUGCUAAGGCCGAUGGCGACCGGCGCACGGGUGAGUAACACGUAUCCAACCUGCCGUCUACUCUUGGACAGCCUUCCGAAAAGAAGAUUAAUACAAGAUGGCAUCAUGAGUCCACAUGUUCACAUGAUUAAAGGUAUUCCGGUAGACGAUGGGGAUGCG
rnacentral:rRNA from 1 species